rnacentral:rRNA from 1 species
AAUAUUGCUUAAUGGGCGCAAGCCUGAAGCAGCAACGCCGCGUGUGCGAUGAAGGCCUUCGGGUUGUAAAGCACUUUUAGCUGGGAAGAGGAAGGACGGUACCAGCUGAAUAAGCCUCGGCUAACUACGUGCCAGCAGCCGCGGUAAAACGUAGGAGGCGAGCGUUAUCCGGAUUUACUGGGUGUAAAGCGCGUGCAGGCGGUUUGGUAAGUUGGGUGUGAAAGCUCCUGGCUCAACUGGGAGAGGUCGCUCAAGACUGCCAGACUUGAGAGUGGUAGGGGAAGGUGGAAUUCCGGGUGUAGUGGUGAAAUGCGUAGAUAUCCGGAGGAACACCAGUGGCGAAGGCGGCCUUCUGGGCCACAUCUGACGCCCAGACGCGAAAGCUAGGGUAGCAAACGGGAUUAGAGACCCCGGUAGUCCUAGCCGUAAACGAUGUGAACUUGGCGCUGGGGCGGUAAAACGGUUCAGUGCCGAAGCAAACGCGAUAAGUUCACCACCUGGGGACUACGGCCGCAAGGUUA